rnacentral:rRNA from 1 species
GGUGAACGCUGGCGGCGUGCCUAAGACAUGCAAGUCGAGCGGGGCAGGUUUAUACCUGUUCAGCGGCGGACGGGUGAGUAACGCGUGGGUGACCUACCCGGAAGAGGCGGACAACCUGGGGAAACCCAGGCUAAUCCGCCAUGUGGUCCUGUCCUGUGGGGCAGGACUAAAGGGUGGAUAGCCCGCUUCCGGAUGGGCCCGCGUCCCAUCAGCUAGUUGGUGGGGUAAAGGCCCACCAAGGCGACGACGGGUAGCCGGUCUGAGAGGAUGGCCGGCCACAGGGGCACUGAGAAACGGGCCCCACUCCUACGGGAGGCAGCAGUUAGGAAUCUUCCGCAAUGGGCGCAAGCCUGACGGAGCGACGCCGCUUGGAGGAGGAAGCCCUUCGGGGUGUAAACUCCUGAACUGGGGACGAAAGCCCCGUGUAGGGGGAGGACGGGACCCAGGUAAUAGCGCCGGCCAACUCCGUG